rnacentral:rRNA from 1 species
UCCCCUGCCGUAAAACCCCCCAUUUCUAAAGGUUGACCUCGGAUCAGGUAGGAAUACCCGCUGAACUUAAGCAUAUCAAUAAGC